rnacentral:rRNA from 1 species
UACGUAGGGGGCAAGCGUUGUCCGGAAUCAUUGGGCGUAAGAGCGUGUAGGCGGCCAGACAGGUCCGUUGUGAAAACUCGAGGCUCAACCUCGAGACGCCGAUGGAAACCGUCUGGCUAGAGUCCGGAAGAGGAGAGUGGAAUUCCUGGUGUAGCGGUGAAAUGCGCAGAUAUCAGGAAGAACACCCGUGGCUAAGGCGGCUCUCUAGUACGGUACUGACGCUGAGACGCGAAAGCGUGGGGAGCGAACAGG